GAACAUGGAUUGUAAGUAUGCUGGUUUUGGAAAUUCCUUGGUUCCUCGUAAGGGUUUUUAUUAUGAGAAUAGUUCAUGUGCUGGUGAAGAUGUUCAUGAUGAACUGAAUGGGCCAGUGGGUUAUAAUUUUUUUGGGUCGACCCAGAUCAACCCAUUUGACUCGUGACCCGAUCACUUGACCGGGUCGGGUUUCAAAACUAAGAGAGUAAGUGACAAUU